GAAUGCUUAGGAAACGAAUGAGAUUAGAUACCUUAAUAAUUUUAUCCGUAAACGAUGAAUACUAAACGUUGUGUAUAUGAACCAGUGGAAUGUUGUAGCUAUGCGUUAAGUAUUC
rnacentral:ncRNA from 1 species